CCUACGGGUGGCAGCAGUGGGGAAUAUUGGACAAUGGGCGAAAGCCUGAUCCAGCCAUGCCGCGUGUGUGAAGAAGGCCUUCGGGUUGUAAAGCACUUUCAGUGGGGAAGAAAGCCUUAGGGCUAAUACCCUCGAGGAAGGACAUCACCCACAGAAGAAGCACCGGCUAACUCCGUGCCAGCAGCCGCGGUAAUACGGAGGGUGCGAGCGUUAAUCGGAAUUACUGGGCGUAAAGCGCGCGUAGGCGGUCUGAUAAGCCGGUUGUGAAAGCCCCGGGCUCAACCUGGGAACGGCAUCCGGAACUGUCAGGCUAGAGUGCAGGAGAGGAAGGUAGAAUUCCCGGUGUAGCGGUGAAAUGCGUAGAGAUCGGGAGGAAUACCAGUGGCGAAGGCGGCCUUCUGGACUGACACUGACGCUGAGGUGCGAAAGCGUGGGUAGCAAACAGGAUUAGAUACCCGAGUAGUC
rnacentral:rRNA from 1 species